GUUUACCUGUGGUGUAAUGGUCAGCAUGGAUGCCUUCCAAGCAUUCGACGGGGGUUCGAUUCCCCCCGAACG
rnacentral:tRNA from 16 species